AUCGAACGCUGGCGGCAUGCCUUACACAUGCAAGUCGAACGGUAACAGGUCUUCGGAUGCUGACGAGUGGCGAACGGGUGAGCAAUACAUCGGAACGUGCCUAGUAGUGGGGGAUAACUACUCGAAAGAGUGGCUAAUACCGCAUGAGAUCUACGGAUGAAAGCAGGGGAUCGCAAGACCUUGUGCUACUAGAGCGGCCGAUGGCAGAUUAGGUAGUUGGUGGGAUAAAAGCUUACCAAGCCGACGAUCUGUAGCUGGUCUGAGAGGACGAUCAGCCAGACUGGGACGGAGACACGGCCCAGACUCCUACGGGAGGCAGCAGUGGGGAAUUUUGGACAAUGGGCGCAAGCCUGAUCCAGCAAUGCCGCGUGCAGGAUGAAGGCCUUCGGGUUGUAAACUGCUUUUGUACGGAACGAAAAGCCCCGGGUUAAUACCCUGGGGUCAUGACGGUACCGUAAGAAUAAGCACCGGCUAACUACGUGCCAGCCGCCGCGGUAA
rnacentral:rRNA from 1 species